UGAGUAAUGUCUGGGAAACUGCCUGAUGGAGGGGGAUAACUACUGGAAACGGUAGCUAAUACCGCAUAACGUCGCAAGACCAAAGUGGGGGACCUUCGGGCCUCAUGCCAUCAGAUGUGCCCAGAUGGGAUUAGCUAGUAGGUGAGGUAAUGGCUCACCUAGGCGACGAUCCCUAGCUGGUCUGAGAGGAUGACCAGCCACACUGGAACUGAGACACGGUCCAGACUCCUACGGGAGGCAGCAGUGGGGAAGAUUGCACAAUGGGCGCAAGCCUGAUGCAGCCAUGCCGCGUGUAUGAAGAAGGCCUUCGGGUUGUAAAGUACUUUCAGCGAGGAGGAAGGCAUUAAGGUUAAUAACCUUGGUGAUUGACGUUACUCGCAGAAGAAGCACCGGCUAACUCCGUGCCAGCAGCCGCGGUAAUACGGAGGGUGCAAGCGUUAAUCGGAAUUACUGGGCGUAAAGCGCACGCAGGCGGUCUGUCAAGUCGGAUGUGAAAUCCCCGGG
rnacentral:rRNA from 1 species